GUUUCCUUGUUGAAAAGCCAAACUAACAAUGCUAAACAUUGAGUUGUAAAUAGCUUAGCCUAAGGAUUUUAAAAAUUUCCAAGUGGAUAGCAUAUCCCAGAGCCUAUAGAUUUGAGUUGUUGGAAGGCUAGGCUAAACAAGUUAGUGACGGAGUUAUGGUAUUUACAUAAACAUACCAUGCAAGUACUUAACUGAAGAUUCAGUAUAUCUAUAGUGUAAUGUAGAGUUACUCUGUAUAACUAGAAAUCUGUUUCAAAAAACGCACGAAACGCAGACCUAGGGG